UUCCACAGAUGACUGUCCAGAGAAGUGAAUAAAAUUGAGUUCAACAGUUUUAGUCACUGAGACCAGUCACAUCCCCUUCUGCAUGGAACCAAGAUCAACGACGCAAAGAUGACUUUCCUGCUUCCUGAUUAACAGGAUCCUUUUCUCUUCACAUACACACUUUCUUUCCCGUCUCAUUUCUCCUGAUCACUGGUCAUGUGCUGUCUGGUGGUAUUUGGUUUCAGAAGGCUUAAAUAAAUUGAUUUAAUAUCUGCCCUGCAAA